rnacentral:lncRNA from 1 species
CAGGAGGGGAAGGCUGGACAGGAAAAACCAUUCCCUUUUAUAAAAAGCAUGCAGGUUUUACAGCAAGUACCCUUCGCAUAGCAACCACCACUUAGCAGCCUCCACCUAGCUGAAAACAAUGGGCCUCAGUUCCUUGGACCACCUGCAUUCCAAGGCACACGCCAGGAUCCAGGUGUCCUUCACAGGUAUGGCAUAAACAUCAGGGUUGGCCAUUACUGGAACACUAAACAAACAUUCAUCAAGGAACACAGGAUCAUUCUCAAGCGUUCUAGAACACAACUACUAACUAGCUCGGCCUGGUACCACGGAUUUGUGCUACGGCACCAGGAGAGCAAAAUCAACACAGAAAAAAGCAAGAAAACUCAGAGAAAAAAUAAAACAAAUCUACAAUGAACACAUCAGUAUGUAUAUUUCUACAAACUUGUGUGAGAAGUUCUGUAAGAUCAAGUCCUAAAAGCAGAAUUGCUGGCUCAAAGGAUGAGAAAAAAAGGAAAUCACUAAGAAGUUAUGAAAUUUUCCUAUGUCAAGCAGUAAAACAGCCAACCAGAAUCUGAACCCAGGUCUUUCUUUAAAAUGUGUGGUGAGAGUGGCAAGCAGUAGGGGAAAAAAAUGAAAGAAAAAAUGCAUGAUGGCUACUACAUCAUUUGCUUGAUGCUAAGUUCCUUAAAAUUUAUUUUCUACGAGUUAAUACCAACAGGCUAAUCAAUUAUGAAUAAAUUAAUUUUCUACAUACCCAAUCCUAAAAUAGACAAGACCAAGAUGCUGUCAUGCUGAGACUCUCCAGUCAGCAGAUGCUCUACCAACAGUGAGCAGACCCCCUAAAAAUCAUUUCCUCUCACUAUUUUUGCAGCAAUAAUUUUUUUAAAAAUAGAGUCAGGGUCUUGCUAAGUUGGCCAGGCUGAUCUCGAACUCCUACCCUCAAGCAAUCCUCCCAACUUGGCCUACCUAAAUGGUGAGAUUACAAGCAUGAGCCACCACUCCUGGCCAAGAUAUUGCUUUUUAGAAUGACAUACUAAUCAGGUAUUUUGGUUAUAGCAAAAAUCUAUAAAUUUAAUGUAUUAAAGUAUAUAUGCAAACUUGUUUGGAUUUUAUUCACCAUUUACAACAUAAACUUAAAAAAGGUAAAAUAUCUCGGGCUGGGCGCAGUGGCUCACGCCUGUAAUCCCAGCACUUUGG